rnacentral:rRNA from 1 species
CCCUAUUAUUAAAAUUUAAAUUGAAAAUACUAAAAUAGUAGAUAAUUAUUUAUUGAAACUUAAAUAAUUUGGCGGUAUUUUAGUUCAUUUAGAGGAAUCUGUUUAAUAAUUGAUAAUCCACGAAUAAAUUUACUUAAUUUUUUAUUUUGUAUAUCGUUGUUAAAAAAAUAUUUUUUAAUAAUAAUAAUAUUUAAAAAUUUUGAUUAAAAAUUAAAUCAGAUCAAGAUGCAGAUUAUAAUUAAGAAUAUAAUGGAUUACAAUAAAUUUAUUUAGAUGAAUAUUAAUUUGUAAAAGUUAAUUGAAGGUGGAUUUAAA